rnacentral:rRNA from 1 species
UUUUAUGGAGAGUUUGAUCCUGGCUCAGGAUGAACGCUGGCGGCGUGCCUAAUACAUGCAAGUCGAGCGAACGGACGAGAAGCUUGCUUCUCUGAUGUUAGCGGCGGACGGGUGAGUAACACGUGGAUAACCUACCUAUAAGACUGGGAUAACUUCGGGAAACCGGAGCUAAUACCGGAUAAUAUUUUGAACCGCAUGGUUCAAAAGUAAAAGACGGUCUUGCUGUCACUUAUAGAUGGAUCCGCGCUGCAUUAGCUAGUUGGUAAGGUAACGGCUUACCAAGGCAACGAUGCAUAGCCGACCUGAGAGGG